rnacentral:rRNA from 1 species
AUUGAACGCUGGCGGCAGGCCUAACACAUGCAAGUCGAGCGGAUGAAGGGAGCUUGCUCCUGGAUUCAGCGGCGGACGGGUGAGUAAUGCCUAGGAAUCUGCCUGGUAGUGGGGGAUAACGUCCGGAAACGGGCGCUAAUACCGCAUACGUCCUGAGGGAGAAAGUGGGGGAUCUUCGGACCUCACGCUAUCAGAUGAGCCUAGGUCGGAUUAGCUAGUUGGUGGGGUAAAGGCCUACCAAGGCGACGAUCCGUAACUGGUCUGAGAGGAUGAUCAGUCACACUGGAACUGAGACACGGUCCAGACUCCUACGGGAGGCAGCAGUGGGGAAUAUUGGACGAUGGGCGAAAGCCUGAUCCAGCCACGCCGCGUGUGUGAAGAAGGUCUUCGGAUUGUAAAGCACUUUAAGUUGGGAGGAAGGGCAGUAAGUUAAUACCUUGCUGUUUUGACGUUACCAACAGAAUAAGCACCGGCUAACUUCGUG